AGAAAACUGAAUAGACACAACAAAUUGCCACAAUAUGACAUUGAUAUGCUGAAUUGUCUUUUAACAAUUGAAUUUUAAGCAAAGGAAUUUAGUAUGAGUGGAAAUUUGAGAAACAGUGAAUGAAAAUGGAUCAUGAAGCAGAACUGGAAAACAGAGAAUGCGGAAAUGGUUAGAUAGAAAUGAACCGAAGAAUUUCAAAGACCACCACUGUGAAGAUUAACAGUUUGCAGAAUACAUGACAAAUUUGUACAGACUGGGCCCAUUUGUAAUGCACAGACAAGUGGUCAACUGGUCAGUGUUAUGACUGAAGAAGAUGAAAUGCUUGUGGCUCAAACAUUUGCUUAACUGUCCCCAGAAAUCAAAAUAAAAGGGGCUUCUGAUGAACUAGGCAAUUCCCACAAAUCACUUUGUCAACUUAUGAAUCACUUAGAAACAGAGAAAUGAAAAAGACAUUCCACUCAUAUUAAACAACUGUUUUCCCACCGUUAUAGAUCUGUUGUAUGUAUACACAUAUGUGUCAAGUAUUUGUAGAAACACAAUAUAAUACCUACAAAUGCCUUUAGAUCUUAAAAUUGACCUACUUGAGACGACUCUGGUGCUGGAAAAAAGUUUCCAUCUUACAAGGGUAAAAAAACUCAAUCUUUCUGUUGUUUUUACAGCUAUACUGUGCUAAAAAUUUACUCUCUUGUCUGUAAAAUACCAAACACAACUGACACUUCCAAAGUGUGUUUAUAAAAUGUUAUCGCAAAAGUUUUAA
rnacentral:lncRNA from 1 species